rnacentral:rRNA from 1 species
UACAGAGGUCUCAAGCGUUGUUCGGAUUCAUUGGGCGUAAAGGGUGCGUAGGCGGCGCGGUAAGUCGGGUGUGAAAUCUCGGGGCUUAACUCCGAAACUGCAUUCGAUACUGCCGUGCUUGAGGACUGGAGAGGAGACUGGAAUUUACGGUGUAGCGGUGAAAUGCGUAGAUAUCGUAGGGAAGACCAGUGGCGAAGGCGGGUCUCUGGACAGUUCCUGACGCUGAGGCACGAAGGCCAGGGGAGCAAACGGG